GCCACUGUAGCUCGGUUGGUAGAGCAUGGUGCUUGCAAUGCCAGGGUUGUGGGUUCGAUUCCCACGGGGGGCC
rnacentral:tRNA from 1 species